AACGAACGCUGGCGGCAUGCCUAACACAUGCAAGUCGAACGAGACCUUCGGGUCUAGUGGCGCACGGGUGCGUAACGCGUGGGAACCUGCCCUUAGGUUCGGAAUAACUCCCCGAAAGGGGUGCUAAUACCGGGUAAUGUCUUCGGACCAAAGAUUUAUCGUCUUUGGAUGGGCCCGCGUUGGAUUAGCUAGUUGGUAGGGUAAAAGCCUACCAAGGCGACGAUCCAUAGCUGGUCUGAGAGGAUGAUCAGCCACACUGGGACUGGGACACGGCCCAGACUCCUACGGGAGGCAGCAGUGGGGAAUAUUGGACAAUGGGCGAAAGCCUGAAGCAGCAAUGCCGGGUGAGUGAUGAAGGCCUUAGGGUUGUAAAGCUCUUUUACCCGGGAUGAUAAUGACGGUACCGGGAGAAUAAGCUCCGGCUAACUCCGUG
rnacentral:rRNA from 1 species